GACCAGGGCUUGCUUGGCUUCCAGCUCUGCCUGCUGAGCUGUCUGCCCUGCUGUGCUGCACAUGUGGCUCUUCCUUUUCCUGCAGGGAAGGGGUAGAAAGGAACCACGGAGUGAAGCAGCAAGCCCAGCAGACAUCUGGGUCCUUAGAGAAUACACUUCAUGGAUAGCGACUAUCUGCUGCCAAUCCAGGGAUGGCAGAAUAAGGGUGUGGAGGAGCUGGUGGGCUCAGCUCCCAGAGGAGGAAAAGCCAGCAUGUCAUUGAGGCAAAGUCCUCAGAAAGGAGGAAAUAAAGUUAUGGAGCCAAUGAAAUCAAGUUACAAGUCUACUACACCCUAAUAAGAAGGUGCCACUCAAAUGUGCUAAAUCUUGCUAUGCAAAGGUCCUGUCUGAUCAUUUGCUGCAACAGGAAUAUUUGACAUGCAUGUUGCUGAUUUUCCCCUAAGGUGUUUCAUAACUUGCAGGCCACCUCCUGGUGUCCACACUAAAGCUGGCAUGCACAGCAGGGAUGCUACACAGCUGCUAGAGGUACUUCUCGACUUCAUAAAGUAGUGACUGCCAGAUCUCCCACAGAAUGGAGCUUCUCAGGUACAAUACAGUAGCAGAAUGGUUACUUGUUGUGCAUUAACAGGAAAUUUAGGUAAAAGACUUUAAGAGACCCUCCUGUUAUUUUAAAGAUCUUAAACAUCUGCAUAAAAAUGACCAAACUAGUUUGGAAGUUUCAUUCAUCAAAGCUACAAAGCAAAGUGUUCUUGGGCCAUUUUAUCUACCCCAGUGGAGAGCCUGAGCAGGAUCCGGAAUUCUGCCUGCACCUCCAGGUUCCCCAGUGCAGAAAGAGCAAGUCCCAACAGAUUUUACAUCUUUCAGCCUGAAACAAAGAUUUUUAAGGCCAUCUCCUCCAGCUUCCACCAUACAGUGGCUCUGCCCCACUGCUCACAUUCUGGUGUGGAAGACCACUGCUCCACCAAACAAGCUGAGACUGUGGGUGAUGUCUUCUCCAUUGCUUCCCUGCCUGCAUAUCUUAGCAGUCACUCUGGCUGCUGUUGAAUGGGGGUGACCCCUAGAUCCAGGUCUUUGACAACUCUAAGCUGUAGACUUUGGUCUUUUAGACCUCUGAAGACACCUAAGACCCUUCUGAGGUUGCUUCCCAGCUUGGGUACAGCACGGGAAGUGCAAAUGAGAGAAAACUUGUACAUUUUAUGCUUUUAUGGAAGGAAAUAGAUAGAACUAAGACCCAGCACCUCUCAAAGAAACACUUUUCCUGUGGUAUUUUGAGUUUAUAUUGCACCUGAACAAUUUUGUAAUUUCUUUUUUGCACAUGGGAUUUUCACAUCAAAAGCUGCAAAAUUUGUGUGCUGCGUGUACUUCAGGAACAAAGAGUCACUCACAAAUGCCAGCUGUUCAAAACCAGGAUCUGUGGACUUUGGUGGCAUCCAACAGAAUCUCAAGAAAAUACAUUAAAAUAGCAAAUGUCUGCUUUUUGCUCUACAGAUUAAUCCCAGCACUUAAAUCAUGCUCUAAAGGCUGGCAUAACACACACGUCACCAGUUGCACGUGGAUUCCUUCCAGCCAGAGCACGCUACAUGGUGCUGUGGAGCUACCAUGUGCGUUGUAUAUUGGUUUUUAUCAGGUCUAAUGCUCAUGGUUCUUACCAAGCCGGUUGCUCUCACUCUACAAAUGAGAAGUCUUGGGAUACUUAUUAUAUUGAUAUGAGUAAAGAUGGAGGAAAAAUGUCUUCUGUGAAGAUGACAAUGUGCCUCUGGACUCCCUACUCAAUACUCACUACACAAUAAAGGACAACGCACUUGUAACACCCCAGUCCUUGUAAAAUAGUCUCCUCUUGUCAUCCAGACUCUUUUUCUGGAGGUUAUCUUAUCUUAUACUGACUGUGUUAAAAUGCAUCAGUUAUUCCAAAGUCAUUAUAAAAGUGGGAUGACCUGCCUUUGGGGUUCAUAAAGGAUAUACAAUAGCACACCAUGGAGAUACAAAUGGAUGGGUUGGUUUAUAAAGGCAUAUUAAGAACUAAGUUUAAUUACAGAACACAAGAGAAAUGUUUAAUAUUUAAAAUACCAGAGCAAGAAGGCAAUCUGUACUAACUUUUAACCUUUGUAAAGUCAAAAGUUAAAGAACAAACCUGAGUUAUAGGAAAUAUUUUCGUCUGACUGCUUUCCAGGCUGCCUAUAUGCAGGAGUUAUCCCAGCCUGCUUCUCACUUGCCAUUCAGUCUCUCCUUCAACAAGUUAUGCAGCCUUUGCUUAAAAUGUGCACAGAUUUCUAACUGAAAUAAAUAAAGAAGCCUUUCUUUACAGAUAGCUAUAAAUUAACCCUGCAGCAGGAAUGUCCGUUCAUCUCCGCUAACUCACCAGAAACACGCUGUUCCAGCAGAGAGGAAGCCACAUUUCUUCUUUAAGCCCUGCUGUCUGAAGAUGUCUCCUCCAAGCAGCCUUCAGUGCCUCAGCACGGCGACAAGGUUGCCUUUCCUCCUACUCUUGGUAUGCUAGGAGCUGUGAUUCAUUCUGCUCCUGAGUCAUGUCUGAAGGCCAGUCCAACAGUGAAUGGUCAUUCUGAGGCUCCCAGAGCAUCCCACAAGAGUGACUGACUUUGCAAGCAAAGCACCCACUGGACAUUCUGCCAUCCCUGUUUUGCAGGUACUGGAAACAACUGGCUAAGUCAACAGCCUGCUAAAAGGCUUUAGAGUGUCACAAGGCUUUUUGAGCCAGCCACACUGGGGAAGGAGGAUUCCUUCUCCCUGAACUAUUUGAUCCAUGGCUGGAGCUGCAUACUGCAGAGCAAGCUAGAUACCUCUCAGUGACAGGCUUGGAGCACACAGCCAGCACUGGUUAGCUAAGGCUAAUCGGAGAUGGGCACGGUAUCCUUAUGUUUGUCAAGUUCUUGGUAUUUUACAGCUUGAAAUAAAGCAUCUUUGGCACUGAAGCCAUGUUCCAGGGUGAUUAAUCCUUUGAAUCCCAUCUCACAUCUAAUUCAGAGCUUCCUCUGGCUGCUCCUGUGAAGUUUCACUCAGCAGACACACACACACUCCCCAGAGAGAGAUGUUUUACUGUUCAGUGUCAGCCUGGCAGCGACGGAAUAGGAGCUAACACUCAGAUAUGCAUCCUCCAGGAAACAAGAGCUCUUCUCUGCUGGGGGAGGCAGGUCAAGCUGGGACAUCACACCAUGCUGUGAAUCGGGCUGUCCUUCCUCCUCAUUUCAAGUUGGAUCAUUUAAAAAGUGCCACCGCUUCAGUGAAUGCUUCUCUAAGUGUCCUUGUGACUAAGUGCCAGGGAUGGGGUACAGUGACGGCCUCACAAGCUACAAACCCAAACCCUCUGGCGCACUGCCUUUGAGAAGGGUGUAAAGAAAAUGCCUGGCCCCUGAAGUGUAGUCUCUGAGUAAAGGGAUGGAGAUGCUACACAUGGUGAAGAGAUGACUGUAAGAUGAGGGUGACUGCAAAGCCCCCAAAGGU